GACGAACGCUGGAGGCGUGCUUAACACAUGCAAGUCGAACGAUGAAAUGGAGCUUGCUCCAUGGAUUAGUGGCGAACGGGUGAGUAACACGUGAAUAAUCUGCACUUAAUUUUGGAAUAACCCAGGGAAACCUGGGCUAAUACCGGAUAAGUAAACCUGUGGCAUCACAUGGUUUUGGAAAGUUUUUCGAUUAAGGAUGGAUUCGCGGCCUAUCAGCUUGUUGGUGAGGUAAUGGCUCACCAAGGCGACGACGAGUAGCCGGCCUGAGAGGGUGAACGGCCACAAUGGGACUGAGACACGGCCCAGACUCCUACGGGAGGCAGCAGUGAGGAAUAUUGCGCAAUGGACGAAAGUCUGACGCAGCGACGCCUCGUGAGGGACGAAGGUCUUCGGAUUGUAAACCUCUUUCAGCAGGGACGAAGCGAAAGUGACGGUACCUGCAGAAGAAGCACCGGCUAACUAUGUGCCAGCCGCCGCAGUAA
rnacentral:rRNA from 1 species